UACGAAGGGGGCUAGCGUUGCUCGGAAUUACUGGGCGUAAAGGGCGCGUAGGCGGGUCGUUUAGUUAGAGGUGAAAGCCCAGGGCUCAACCCUGGAAUUGCCUUUAAUACUGGCGGCCUUGAGUAUGGCAGAGGUGUGUGGAACUCCGAGUGUAGAGGUGAAAUUCGUAGAUAUUCGGAAGAACACCAGUGGCGAAGGCGACACACUGGGCCAUUACUGACGCUGAGGCGCGAAAGCGUGGGGAG
rnacentral:rRNA from 1 species